GUCGUAACAAGGCAUAUCAAUAAGCGGAGGACCGGAAGUAAAAGUCGUAACAAGGCAUAUCAAUAAGCGGAGGACCGGAAGUAAAAGUCGUAACAAGGCCUAUCGAUAAUCGGAGGACCGGCAGAAAAAACUUAAUAGUUGCAACUUUCUACAACGGAUCUCUUGGUUCUGGCAUCGAUGAAGAACGCAGCGAAAUGCGAUAAGUAGUGUGAAUUGCAGAAUUCAGUGAAUCAUCGAAUCUUUGAACGCACAUUGCGCCCCUUGGUAUUCCAUGGGGCAUGCCUGUUCGAGCGUCAUUUGUACCUUCAAGCUCUGCUUGGUGUUGGGUGUUUGUCUCGCCUCUGCGCGCAGACUCGCCUCAAAACAAUUGGCAGCCGGCGUAUUGAUUUCGGAGCGCAGUACAUCUCGCGCUUUGCACUCAUAACGACGACGUCCAAAAGUACAUUUUUACACUCUUGACCUCGGAUCAGGUAGGGAUACCCGCUGAACUUAAGCAUAUCAAUAAGCGGAGGACCGGAAGU
rnacentral:rRNA from 1 species